UGCAACUACGUGCCGGGAGCCGGGUAAAAGCGGGGGGAGCAGGGUGUGGUCGGAACAACUGGGCGGAAAGUGUGUGUGGGAGGUCAGGUAAGUGAUACGUGAAAGGCCCCGGCUUACCCGGGGACCUGCGUCUCAUACUGUUUGGCUUGAGUACGGGAGGGGAUGUGGGAAUUCCUGGUGUAGCGGUGAAAUGCGUAGAUAUCAGGAGGAACACCGGUGGCGAAGGCGCACAUCUGGCCCGAUACUGACGCUGAGGCGCGAAAGCUAGGGGAGCAAACGGGAUUAGAUACCCUGGUAGUC
rnacentral:rRNA from 1 species